AGUGAAAAACCCUCUCACGUCGCUCUCCCUAGAGGCGGCUCCGGAGACGACGACCCCGCCGCCCCUCUCCCCCACCCCCACCCCCUUCUCCGCCUCGCCGUCGCCCGAGCGGCCGCCGGCGAAGCCACGCAGCCGCAAGGACGGCGGCGGCGGGGCGGUCCUCGUCUCCUCGCGCUCGGGUGGCCUGGGGAGCCGCCCGGAGUGGCGACGGCGGUGUCUGCCAGAUCCGCGCCGUUCCGGCCGGAUCUGGCGGGAUGGGCUGGCGGUGGGGAAGGCGUCGGCGGCGGGGACGGGCGACGGUGGCGGUCGAGGCGAGUUGCACCGGGCGUCAGCCGGCGUUGGUGGAGAGGAAGACGGCCAGAUCUGGCUCCUUGCCCAGAUCCGGCGCGUCCUCAGGUGGGAACGGGGUGGUUGGAGUCCGGUCGUCGUGCAGGUGGUGUGAAUAUCGCAGGUAUCCUCGGUGUGCAGGUGACAUUUGGUGGCUCCUGUCGUGGAUGCUAUGGUUGAUGGGUGCUCC
rnacentral:lncRNA from 1 species